rnacentral:rRNA from 1 species
UACGUAGGGUGCAAGCGUUAAUCGGAAUUACUGGGCGUAAAGCGUGCGCAGGCGGUUUUGUAAGUCUGUCGUGAAAGCCCUCGGGCUCAACCUGGGAAUUGCGAUGGAGACUGCAAGGCUUGAAUCUGGCAGAGGGGGGUAGAAUUCCACGUGUAGCAGUGAAAUGCGUAGAGAUGUGGAGGAACACCGAUGGCGAAGGCAGCCCCCUGGGUCAAGAUUGACGCUCAUGCACGAAAGCGUGGGGAGCAAACAGG